UUAGAAAAGAAUUGAUAACCCAUAGUUCACCCAGAGACAACCACUGUCAGCGUCUUAGGGUGUUUCUUUCCAGUCUUUUUUCCAGAAGUCAUUUUCAUUUGUUUGAUGUAAUCAAAUCACUAUUUUUUUAAUGCAAUUUUGUUUAAAAAAAAAAAAGCUAUAUUUAAUAGACUAGUUUUUCGGGGGGAGGGGUUAUUUGUUUUUAAUUUUUCUUGGCGUAUAGUUGAUUUACAAUGUUGUGUUAGUUUCAGGCGUACAGCACGCUAGUUUUAAACGCAGAUAUGCAAAGAGAGAUCCAAAGAGCUGCAGUGAUUUUUCUCUCCCUAGUGGUAGAGCACUUCACUGAGGUUAAAGUUCUACGAUCCACAGCUGAUCAUCAAGUGACCUUUCUGUUAAGGUGAGUUUCUUUCUCCUCGUUCUGCCCGCGAAGGACCCACAGGGUGGCAUGAGGGGCCUGGAGACUUGCCGCAGGGCACGUUUCCGUGAGGAUGGGAUGGGGGCUGGAACGCAGGCCCCCUGCCUUGGCCCGGAGGUCUGUCCAGUGCAUUCUGCUGACUCACAAGGUCCCUCUCCCCCAGUCCUUCCUGAUGCAUUUGACUCACUUCCUGUGCUCUCCUUCCUGUUUACUGCCCAAGUGGGAGAAGACACAGGCCCAGACAUCACGGGAGGGCCCAGGCUCCCAGGACGGCUCAGUCCACAUCCGUCCCCUCCCCUCGGCCGCCCUUUCCUUUCCUGCUCCCGUCUCCCCUCUGCAGUUUUCCAAGGCCACUCGGGUCCUCUGGGGCGGGCCAGUGGCAGGCUCGGGACGAGGGCAGACAGAAGUGAACAGCCCCCUGGGCCCGGCUUGGAGCCAGCAGACGUUGGCCAGGGACCCGUACAGCCCAUAAGAUGGGGUUGGCCACAAGGACGAGGAGCAGAGGCAGGUAUGUGGUGACGUAGUGGGGGAUGGCACGCUCCAGACCCCUCUCACACCUGAGGGAGGAAAGCCGGUCAUUCUCGAAGAAAACCCGGGGCUCUGCCUGAGACUCGCCGACUCAUCUGGAAGUCGAGAUAAGAGGACCAGAUCGAAGAGGGAAACACACAGAUCGACUUCUGACUCUGCCCGAAGGCAACCUGACUCAUAGCUCACGUCUGCGGACAAGCGAUAAAUCACCGAAGAAGGAAGGUAGAUCCGUCAUGGUUCUGUUUGUCUCGUCAGUCAGGGCGCUUUUGAAGUUCCCUGCUGGGGAACGGUGAAGAGGGGAAAAGGCUCCCUGGGGCGGUGGAUGCCCCCCCGCCAACUCCCCCGCUGGCUCUCUCAGACAAGUGGGUCUCUCCCUACUUGUCUUGCAAACAAGACCACGGCAUUCGAGGAGCCAGCUGGGUUUUCAGCAGUUACUACGCAUGUGCGAAGCCUGGCUGACAUCACGAAUAAGAUCCAGGCUCUGUCCUCGGCCAACUCAAAAUACCCAAGCCUCACACCGCACAGGAUACCUGUCGUCAUGGUGACAGAUAAUCAUUUCAGUGGUUCUUUUCAGGGAGAAAGAAGGACCAGGAUUUCUACCGAUGGGUCUCGAGGAUCAUCCGUCACCACAGGACACGGUGGAGUGCCUCACACAGGUUAUGUUACCGAGGUCGGGGCUAUCGGUUAACAAACGCAUAGUGCAGAGGCAAAUGGCAAAGGGGAAGAGGGACUCCAAGGCAAAGGGGAUGUUGCCCAGGCCCGACCCCAGGGGGGUGGAAAAGCAGAGGAGGGAACAGCUCCUGUGGCCACGGGAGGUAGGAUGAAGAAAAUGCCAGCGCGCUCUCGUUUUCAUAUGCAUGAAGGUACUCACACCAGAGGGGGAAAGUGGCUGAAGAUGCAUGGAGACAGAAGCUUUCCUCUUCAGCUGUGAAAGCUAAACUGUGGUCUGGAAGGGCUUGAGGGGAGAAAGGGAAACAAGAGGAGGAAGACAUGAGAUUCGGACGCCCGUACUGAACGUAAGGAACAAAGGAGAGAGGCGGGGAGCCUGCAGAGCGCCAAGGGCUCUGGGUCGUCGUGGGCUCUGAGGAUGGACAUGAGGAAGGAUGGAGAUGCUUCGGGGGGCGGCGGGGGGGCGGCCUCGUGGGGACCGCGGGGCACCUUGGCGUUCCUGAGUGCCCUGCGGCAAUGCCUCCCUCGCGCUGGGACGCGACGUCCCCAGGAUCUCACAGGUGGAGGCCAGAGAUAAAAACUCCCUUUCCAAUUAGGCGCCUCCCUCUGUAACAGCUGCUAACUCUGUAUUUGUCCUUUUAGGGUUCCUGGGGAGAGUGGGCGGUUUGGAGGGGUCUACACAGAGGCCUGGGAGUAGUACUGCCAACAAAGCAACACCAGCGUGCAGACAUCUGAGUGAGUGGCUACAAGAAAUCGAAAAAGAAGGGGCAGAAACGGUCUGCACCACAGGUCAGCAAACUUUUUCUGUAAAGGAGCAGAUAGUCAAUAUUUUAGCCUUCAGAACCCUCACAGCCUCUGUCAAAACGACUCAGCUCUAAUGUGUAAGGCGGCCAUAGACCAUACAUACACAAAUGGGCACGGCUGUGUGCCAGUAAAGCUUUAUUUACAAAAGCAGGCAGAGGGCCGGAUCUGUCCCGAGGGCUGUGCUGUGCUGAUGCCGGGUGUACACCGCCCUGAAGUCACAGACAAAGAGACAACGUCCAACCUCUGUUCUUCAGCUUUCCAUUGAAAAUUAGAGUAUGUAUCCUUGGAGGGACCUUGAGGCUUUACAAAUGGUUGCACUGAUGGGGUUUUAAACUUGAAGAAAUGCCUGAGACAAUUUCAGAGGCCACAUCGCCCAGUGUCUGUGUGUUCAGAACAGCACAGGAUGGAGAGAGGUGAGAAGGUGCAGA